GGGCCUGUGGUCUAGCUGGCUAUGACGUCGCCUUCACACGGCGGAGGUCAGGGGUUCGAAUCCCUUCGGGCCCA
rnacentral:tRNA from 2 species